rnacentral:tRNA from 1 species
AUCGUUUUAGUUUAAUUAAAACAUUACUUUUUCGUUGUAAAAAUAAAUAUGUAUUUAUCCGAUU